rnacentral:sRNA from 1 species
UUCCUCAACAGUUUCAGUCAUUCAGUCAGUACCGCUGUAAGACUGCCAAGAAGUCAGAGGAGGAGAUUGACUUUCUUCGUUCCAAUCCCAAAAUCUGGAAUGUUCAUAGUGUCCUCAAUGUCCUUCAUUCCCUGGUAGACAAAUCCAACAUCAACCGACAGUUGGAGGUAUACACAAGUGGAGGUGACCCCGAGAGUGUGGCUGGGGAGUAUGGGCGGCACUCCCUCUACAAAAUGCUUGGUUACUUCAGCCUGGUCGGGCUUCUCCGCCUGCACUCCCUGUUAGGAGAUUACUACCAGGCCAUCAAGGUGCUGGAGAACAUCGAACUGAACAAGAAGAGUAUGUAUUCCCGUGUGCCAGAGUGCCAGGUCACCACAUACUAUUAUGUUGGGUUUGCAUAUUUGAUGAUGCGUCGUUACCAGGAUGCCAUCCGGGUCUUCGCCAACAUCCUCCUCUACAUCCAGAGGACCAAGAGCAUGUUCCAGAGGACCACGUACAAGUAUGAGAUGAUUAACAAGCAGAAUGAGCAGAUGCAUGCGCUGCUGGCCAUUGCCCUCACGAUGUACCCCAUGCGUAUCGAUGAGAGCAUUCACCUCCAGCUGCGGGAGAAAUAUGGGGACAAGAUGUUGCGCAUGCAGAAAGGUGACCCACAAGUCUAUGAAGAACUUUUCAGUUACUCCUGCCCCAAGUUCCUGUCGCCUGUAGUGCCCAACUAUGAUAAUGUGCACCCCAACUACCACAAAGAGCCCUUCCUGCAGCAGCUGAAGGUGUUUUCUGAUGAAGUACAGCAGCAGGCCCAGCUUUCAACCAUCCGCAGCUUCCUGAAGCUCUACACCACCAUGCCUGUGGCCAAGCUGGCUGGCUUCCUGGACCUCACAGAGCAGGAGUUCCGGAUCCAGCUUCUUGUCUUCAAACACAAGAUGAAGAACCUCGUGUGGACCAGCGGCAUCUCAGCCCUGGAUGGUGAAUUUCAGUCAGCCUCAGAGGUUGACUUCUACAUUGAUAAGGACAUGAUCCACAUCGCGGACACCAAGGUCGCCAGGCGUUAUGGGGAUUUCUUCAUCCGUCAGAUCCACAAAUUUGAGGAGCUUAAUCGAACCCUGAAGAAGAUGGGACAGAGACCUUGAUGAUAUUCACACACAUUCAGGAACCUGUUUUGAUGUAUUAUAGGCAGGAAGUGUUUUUGCUACCGUGAAACCUUUACCUAGAUCAGCCAUCAGCCUGUCAACUCAGUUAACAAGUUAAGGACCGAAGUGUUUCAAGUGGAUCUCAGUAAAGGAUCUUUGGAGCCAGA